ACCACUGAGCCACCUUCCCAGCCCUUAAUAUAUUUUUUUUAAUUGUAAAGAUACUGUACAGACGGGGCUGGGAAGGUGGCUCAGUGGU
rnacentral:pre_miRNA from 1 species